AAUCCCAAUGAUGAUUAUGAUUAAAAAAAAAUGUUAAAAGUAGUGACUGAUUUAUCUUGAUUAUACUUCAGCUCUGAGGGAUU
rfam:Capsella rubella cultivar Monte Gargano unplaced genomic scaffold scaffold_7, whole genome shotgun sequence.